ACCUGUAAAAAGCAAACCUAUCGAAAGUUAGGGACGCAAAGUCAGGAGUCUGCCAUGCUGGUAUUCCAGCAUAAUGAUCGUCCGACUGCCAUG
rnacentral:ncRNA from 1 species